AGCUCCAAUAGCGUAUAUUAAAGUUGUUGCAGUUAAAAGCUCGUAGUCGGAUUUCGGGUUGGCGCGGUCGGUCUGCCGUUGGGUAUGCACUGACUGUCGCCUUCCUUUCCGGGGUAGAUCGUGCGUUGACUCGUGCGUUUCUCCCCGCGUUUACUUUGAGAAAUCAGAGUGUUCAAAGCAGGCCUUUGCCAUUGUAUGUGUUAGCAUGGGAUAAUGGAAUAGGACUCUGGUGCUAUUUUGUUGGUUUCGAACGCCGGGGUAAUGAUUAAUAGGGACAGUCAGGGGCACUCGUAUUCCGUAGAGAGAGGUGAAAUUCUUAGACCCACGGAAGACGCACUACUGCGAAAGCAUUUGCCAGGGAUGUUUUCACUGAUCAAGAACGAAAGU
rnacentral:rRNA from 1 species